AGAAGGAAGUGCAGAUGGUGAAUGAAAUGACCGACAAAUGAUGUUAAAGGGCAAUAUGAAAGAAUGGAAGACUCAGAUCCUACUGAGUGUGUGCAAGGCCACCAAGCCAUGCUGGCACCAAGGAGGGGGCUGUGCAGCUCAGUCCACAUCUGAGGUGCCAGUGGCAGCUGUGCAGAGACACCAGCUCUGCAUGUGCUGCUGAGGAAACCUGAGACCUGUGAGGAACUCUCUGCACACCUGCCCAGAGGCCACGGUCACACCAGUGCAGCUCCCUGAUGUUGAAUAAGGUAUUAGGGGCUGAUAACUGAUGUUGCAGUAAGCCCUGAAAGCAUGGCUAUACUUGGGUCCUGAGAAUGACUAGUUCAGAUGUGGACAACUCCUGCGUAAAUACCAGUGUGAAGCCUGUCAAGGUCCACACUAGUUAGGCUGGAUUGUUAAACUUGUCAGAAUUUGAGCUGAUGGGCAUGCAGGGAAAGAUAGACAGGGUUUAGGCACCUGCAUUUUGUACAUUUACCCCAAAUGAAAUGCCUAAAGCACAUGUCUAGAGCAUGUGGCUGAGAAGGUUUUAUGAUUGGAUUUCCUGAGUUGUUGUGCUAAAUGGCAAGUUUGAGGCUACAUAUUUUCUACAAUAAUUAAGGGAGACAGUGUCAGUUAAGCAACCCAUAAUCCAUUGCAGUGUUGGAUUAGGUCCCCUGUGACUCCUUAGUCUUGAUUUCGGUCUCCUAUGAGUAAUAGGCUACAAUUUUCUUCUACUGUCUUGGCUCUGGGCCUCUGUUGACUAAGGGGCAAAAAAGGUCUCUUAAGCCUUUUGUGGACCAAGUCAUUGCCUCAGAAGUUGGAGCAGAUCUCAUCUCUGGAUCUCUGGAGAGAUUGGCAUGGUGGGUGUUCAAGCAGAUCACAGCAGUCUUUGACACACAAUCUAGAGCUCUUUUGCUUGGCCAGACAAAUACAGCCUGUGGACAGUGAUGCUUGCCCUGCAAACACAGACCUCACACAAAUCACAGCUCGGUCCCACUCAUCCAGUUUACAUCAGCCAAUUCACAUGGUCCCUGGAAAUAGAAAGCUCACUGUGAUCAUGGCUGACAGCUCCAGCUCCUACAUGUGGCAAUUCCUCUCCUCAGAUUGCUGCUUCCAUAUGGUGUUGCAAACCUGAGCAUUGUGUUCUUCCUGAGGGGCACUAUUUAUUGUUUUCUGAGUAAGGUGUUACCUUAUUAUCUAGCUCCUAAUGGAUUUAAGUAGUCAGUUCCAGGCGGAGACAUGCAGUGAAGUCUCCUUUGUCCAGGUGGGUAGGUUUUGUGUGCUGUUGUGGAGAUUCACUCAGAG